rnacentral:rRNA from 1 species
CGGCCUAUCAGCUUGUUGGUGGGGUAGUGGCCUACCAAGGCGACGACGGGUAGCCGGCCUGAGAGGGUGACCGGCCACACUGGGACUGAGACACGGCCCAGACUCCUACGGGAGGCAGCAGUGGGGAAUAUUGCGCAAUGGGCGAAAGCCUGACGCAGCGACGCCGCGUGGGGGAUGACGGCCUUCGGGUUGUAAACCUCUUUCAGCAGGGACGAAGCGAAAGUGACGGUACCUGCAGAAGAAGCACCGGCCAACUACGUGCCAGCAGCCGCGGUAAUACGUAGGGUGCAAGCGUUGUCCGGAAUUAUUGGGCGUAAAGAGCUCGUAGGCGGUUCGUCGCGUCGGCUGUGAAACCCUGAGGCUCAACCUCAGGCCUGCAGUCGAUACGGGCGGACUUGAGUACUGCAGGGGAGACUGGAAUUCCUGGUGUAGCGGUGAAAUGCGCAGAUAUCAGGAGGAACACCGGUGGCGAAGGCGGGUCUCUGGGCAGUAACUGACGCUGAGGAGCGAAAGCGUGGGGAGCGAACAGGAUUAGAUACCCUGGUAGUCCACGCCGUAAACGUUGGGCGCUAGGUGUGGGGGCCAUUCCACGGUCUCCGUGCCGCAGCUAACGCAUUAAGCGCCCCGCCUGGGGAGUACGG